AGGACGAACGCUGGCGGCGUGCUUAACACAUGCAAGUCGAACGGUAAGGCCCCUUCGGGGGUACACGAGUGGCGAACGGGUGAGUAACACGUGGGUAAUCUGCCCUGCACUUUGGGAUAAGCCUGGGAAACUGGGUCUAAUACCGGAUAUGAGCUCCUGCCGCAUGGUGGGGGUUGGAAAGGUUUUCGGUGCAGGAUGAGCCCGCGGCCUAUCAGCUUGUUGGUGGGGUAAUGGCCUACCAAGGCGACGACGGGUAGCCGGCCUGAGAGGGUGAUCGGCCACACUGGGACUGAGACACGGCCCAGACUCCUACGGGAGGCAGCAGUGGGGAAUAUUGCACAAUGGGCGAAAGCCUGAUGCAGCGACGCCGCGUGGGGGAUGGACGGUCUUCGGAUUGUAAACCCGUUGGUAGGACGAAGCGCAAGUGACGGUACUGCAGAAGAGCACGCUAACACGUGACCAGCAGCCGAC
rnacentral:rRNA from 1 species